ACACCGGCGUAGGGGCUGUUAUCUCACAGCGAUCAUCUGCGGAUCAGAAGGUUCACCCAUGUGCUUUCUUCUCCCGGAAACUGUCUACCACAGAGAGAAAUUAUGACAUCGGGGAUCAGGAGUUGUUAGCAGUUAAGCUGGCGCUGGAGGAGUGGAGACACUGGCUGGAGGGAGCUGAGCAGCCAUUUAUGGUAUGGACGGACCACAAGAAUUUAGAAUAUAUUCGCUCUGCCAAGCGGUUGAACUCCCGCCAAGCAAGGACCAAGCUGCAGGAGGAGGAGGCUCCUGGAGCUCUGGAGCCAGAGGCUGACUGGGGAAGAGAGGUGCCUCCUCAUGGAAUAUAGCCAGAAGAAGAUGGAGCCGGACCCUGCAGACCCUUUUCCAGAAAUCUAGCUGAGCCCGGGGCUAGGGGACCUUACCGGCCCCUUGCUAGACACAACACGCCCAGAGCAACUGACUUUGCAUGAAGCAGGCAAAAAGACAUGGUAUUUUAACUGCGUGAAGGUCACAAACAGAACUGGACUGUGCAUCAGGCUCCCCAGGAUUUUAUACAAACCUCUCCUCAACAGAAUUGACUGCCGACCUCCAGUGAAGAAUUUUGCUUUUAUCUCUGUUCUUAAUCCCUCUGUUAUUAGCCAGUGCCCUUUCUGUGAGCUCAGGGACUAUUUAUCAUGUUUUUACUGAGUGUAAGCGACUCACAAAGUUCUUCUCUCUUUUAACAUUGUUUUUUUGUCUUUUUAGAUAAGUGUUUUUUACAGAAAGGGUUUUUAUCAUGGGAGCUGCCUAGAGAAAAGAAAAACGGAAAAAGAAAAAAUGGCAGCUCGUUAACUUUCUGUGCAGAGGCGCCAAAAUGGCAAUUUAUUUAGGCAGGAUAAACAGUUGAGAACAGAGAGGGGCAGGAGGCCAAGGUAAUAUGGCUGUCAAGUUACCGGAGUCUUCCUACUUUGUUGCACUUUUCCCCAACUUGAAAGACAAAUUGAAUGUGGAGAUUUACGUUACUGGAUUCCACUCAAAUUGCGGACCGAUUUAAUGACUGAGUCCCAGGCAGUACAUUACAUUACAUUACAGGUCAUUUAGCUGAUGCUUUUGUCCAAAGCGACUUACAUUACAUUUUUAACCCAUGGCUCUGAUCGGAGCACUUAGGGGUUAGGUGUCUUGCUCAGGGACACUUCGACAUGGGACAUGGGGCAGCCGGAACUCAAACCACCAACCUUGUGGUUCCCAGCACACCCUCUCUACCCCCUGCGCCACGACGACCCAGUAGCUACAUUUCACUUCUUUUAUUUUUAUUUUCAGGUUAGCAGCAUUUGGUCACUUCAUUUGUGAUUAUCUCAGGCAAUCAGCCAGGCAAUCAGGUAAAAAACAUUCAAAAACAAGACAGAAACAUAGAACACACAUAGGUCCCCAGCAACAGCACAGAAGCAAAAAUAGGUAAUUCAGUCCAUCUGGGGGGUAUUCCAGAAAGCGGGUUAUGUGAAAACCCAGCGUGAGUUAACCCUGAGAUCAGGGAAACUGAGUUAUCUGUUCCAGAUAGAGAAGUAACUGAAACGUUGAGGUCAAUCACAAUGUUAACAGACUCUGAACAUAACCUUCUCGCUGGCAGGUUAACUAUAUGAAACCCAGAGUUUCUACCCGUCUCCUCCCACAUGAAGAAAGCUGGUAGACAUGGAUUGCCUAUUCCUACCAAAUCCAAUUGACAUCGAAGCCUUAGUUAUUCGAAAUGCUUUACGUCGUGAGAGAGUCUUCCGACAAAAUACAAGUUUAGCAAGGCGGUGAGAGAUGCUAAACGACUGUACUCUGAGAAACUCCAACAACAGUUCUCAGCAAGUGACUCUGCUUCGGUUUGGAGAGGCCUCAAACACCUCACUAACUACAAGCCAAAACCCCCCCACUCCAUGAAUGACCUCCGCCUGGCAGACGAGCUGAACGAGUUCUACUGCAUAUUCGAAAGACAAUAUCCUGAUCCCAUCCCCCACAGCUCCACCAACCUGCGCCUGUCCCCUUCCCUUCCCUCCCCCAGCCCAUCAGGGGCUCACACCUCUACAUCUUUAUCACCUUCCCCUCCCCCACCAGCAACGACCCUCUCUAUUCUGGAGAGAGACGUUAACCGGCUCCACCAUCAUCCCUGUUCCCAAGAAGCCCAGGAUCACAGGACUCAAUGACUACAGGCCCGUCGUCCUGACCUCUAUAGUCAUGAAAGGCUACAUGCUGCAAGGAAAAACACAGCGGAAAAAUACAGGCGAAUUCUGUAAGUUUUAAGGAGCUGGGAGAUAGACCACCGCGUGAGUCAAGACAAGGCAAGACAAACACGACGGCGCAAGAGGAUAAUAAAUCUGUUAUUGGCUCCUAAAACCAUUCCCUGACAAUGGCCGGCUGACAGCAGAACAACUGACCUACAACAAAAAAGUGUGCAGGGCUCGGGUGGUGGUGGAAAAUGCUUUUAAGAGACUCAAAGGAAGGUGGCGGUGCCUUAUGAAGAGGAAUGACAGCGACAUCGAAUUGGUGAAGUCCAUGGUGUUGACUUGUUGUGCUCUGCACAAUCUUUGUGAAAGGCAUCGAGAGGAUUACCAGCACGAAUGAGAUACACCUGUUGCUGCGGAGCCUGUGGUUACACAGGCACAGGGCGCAGAGGAGGAGGGCAGGGAUGUACGCGAGGGUCUAAUGCGUUAUGUGAACAGUUAAAUCUGUUGUACACCUAUAAAUGUGAAGUUUUGAUUUUAUUGAAAAUGAAUAAAUCCUUUUUACUUUUACCCUGCCUCUUCAUAUUUUGUAAAAUAUUUUUGCCGCUGCAUCUUAUGUAGAUGUGUUUAAACAUGAGGUAUAAUUCAUUUUGGGUAGCUAUAUCAAAGGGACAAUCUGGUAACGCUGUACAUAAUACUGUGCAAGUACACAAUUUACAGCAUACCCUUUGGUAAUUUUAGUGUACUUAUAAAUUAUGUACGUGUAAUUAGGAGAACAAUUUAUAAUAUGUAAAAACUAAAUAAUUAAAUUCAGAUUUUUGUUUGCAAUAGGUUACUUUAAAAAUCAUAUGAUUAGGGUAAAACCUUGGAAGAUCAGCUAUUGUAAAUGUAAAGUAACAUUACAGACUUUUGUAUUUAAGGCAAGCAUAAUCUCCCAAAUGGCCACGUUAGCAAACAAUUGACAGAUGACAGGAACAUAAAUAAAAUGACCUCAAUUUAUAGAAUGGAUAAGGGAGGAAUUGUGGGAGAUGGCCAUUGAACACAGGACACAAGAGGUAAUAAAAAAGUACUUUAAUUUGAAGUCAAAGAAAUUGCAAACAAAAGUAAACGAGUGCAAACAAAGUAAACAAGUGUAAACCAGUCCAAAAAAGUAAACUAGUCUAAAGUGCUGUGUGCAAAAGAGCACUAGUGGCUGGAUCAUAGCACAGAGUUGGGGUGCACCAGUACCAGCUGAGUGAGCGUUCCGAGGAAGGCCUGAUUAAAGUUCGCAGACUGCUCCAUAUGUAGGCGAGUUAUAUCAGCCUCAUGCCGCCUUGCCUCACGGGCAUCCUCCAUCAUAAGUUAGAAGCGCCGGUCACAGCGGUCUCCAUCUUUUCCAGCCACUCCUGCAUCUCAGCCUGGGCCGCAACAACAACAAUAUAUAAUAAUAUAAUAAAUAUUUAUUAAAUUUCUUUUCACUCUGGUGUUAAUGUCUUACCAAUUGUAAUACGCCGAGGUUCACUCCCAGUUGAUGGAGAAGAUUCUGGUGGUGUUGAAGUCCUGGCAGGGGAACUUGCGCUUUCAAGGGUGGAAAUUGGGGUUCCAUUUCCUCCCGACAGCUAGGAUGCUCAACUGAAAAGUUACACAAGUCACGUUAAUUACACAAACGGCAACAAUGCGGUUGAGAUAAAUACAGAACAUACAACGUAGUAGGUCUAGCCAAACUAGUCAAGUGCAUAGCCAAACAAAGCAUUUUUACAUUGUACAAUGUACAUAAGUAUUUUUUCAAGUAUCUAUAAUUUUAUAGGAGAUUUUAUAGGACACACAUCUCUCUUUAAUAUAUAUUUAGUAGAAGUACAAGUAACGUUACUGGACAUGCACUCCGUGCACAACGUGCUAAUAAACUAGCGUUUUGCUAGCUUGCAAAUUAUUGGUUGAUAGCACACUGGCUGGCUGACAGACAAACAACAGACUUGCACAAAAGUUGUGCAUUGAAAGUACACUUUCUCGUGAUCUUACUAUAUUUCACAAUUAAAAACUUACCGGGAGGCUCCAUCGUCGACUCCAGCAACGAGGUGGCCCUAUCGAUGCCUCCUUCUCGUCCCAAACUCGCCGGUCUGUGUCCGUAGAUUAAGUCCAUCAUAUCUAGCCACUUCCAAUUUUUCUGUGAACACCACUCCGGCUGUUGUGGUCUUUCACCUUACGGUAGUCACUCCGCAGAUUCUUGCAUUUAAUGCAGCACUGCUCGGAUGUCCGCUGGUAACCCUCGACAGCCAUCCUCUCUGAAACAUGCUGAAAAACAUUUUCGUUUCUCACCAUGCCAUAGAGUUCCCUUUGCACCCUUUCUUCACCGAUGAUACCCAAGAAGGUCUGCACCUCCUGGGUUGACCACGGUAAAGUAAUGCUGCGCGGCGACAUUGCUGCGACGGUGUUGUAGUUUAAAAAUGGCGCCUCGUGUGUUGUCUUUUUUCCCCUCGCGGCAUGCACAAAUGACGACACUCUUUCAACCAAUCAACGUUCUGCAGUGAGUCUAGCUCCACCCUUUAGUACCAAACAACUGUGCCAGGUACCCUAACGGAAGGGUCCCAAGAAGUGGUACGGUAUGGAUUUUUGGUACUAUUCUCAACUUUUGGCAGUGGAGACACAAAUAAAAGGGUACCGACCCGUACCGUACCGUACCGCUCGGUGGAAACGCGCCAGAAGUCUUUUGAACGGCUAGUCCCGUCCCACCUGAAGUCCCUUACCGACCCCCUCCUGGACCCCCUGCAGUUUGCCUACAGAGCCAACACGCCUGUGGACGACGCUGUCAACAUGGCCCUCCGCUACAUCCUCCAGCAUCUGGACUCCCCAGGAACCUACGCCAGGAUCCUGUUUGUGGACUUAAGCUCUGCCUUCAACACCAUCAUCCCAUCUCUGCUGCAGGACAAACUCUCCCAGCUGCACGUGCCCGACUCCACCUGCAAGUGGAUCACAGACUUCCUGUCUGACAGGAAGCAGCACGUGAAGCUGGGGAAACAUGUCUCAGCCUCUCGGACCAUCAGCACCGGUUCCCCCCAAGGCUGCGUUCUUUCCCCCCUGCUCUUCUCCCUGUACACCAACAGCUGCGCCUCCAGUCACCAGUCCGUCAAGCUCCUGAAGUUUGCGGAUGACACCACCCUCAUUGGACUGAUCUCUGGUGGGGAUGAGUCCGCCUACAGGUGAGUCUGACCAUCUGGUGUUGUGGUGCAGCCAGAACAACCUGGAGCUCAACGCUCUAAAGACAGUGGAGAUAGUUGUGGAUUUCCGGAGGAACAGAGCCCCACCUUCCCCCAUUACCCUGUGUGACUCCCCCGUCACUAUUGUGGAUUCCUUCCGUUUCCUGGGCUCCAUCAUUACCCAGGACCUCAAGUGGGAGCUGAACAUCAGGUCUAUCACCAAGAGGGCUUAGCAGAUGUUGUUCUUCCUGAGGCAGCUGAAGAAAUUCAACCUGCCAAAGAUGAUGAUGGUUCACUUCUACACGGCCAUUAUUGAGUCCAUCCUCUGCUCCUCCAUCACCGUCUGGUACGCUGCAGCCACAGCCAAGGACAAGGGCAGGCUGCAGCGAGUCAUCCGCUCUGCAGAGAGGGUGAUUGGCUGCAAUCUGUCGUCCCUGCAGGACUUGUUCGCUUCCAGGUCUCUGAAGCGAGCUAAAAAGAUUGUAGCCGACCCCGCUCACCCCGGACAAAAACUGUUUGUGCCCCUUCCAUCUGGGAGGAGGCUGAGGUCCAUAAAGACU
ensembl:lncRNA